rnacentral:lncRNA from 7 species
GGAAACUACGUAAGACUUGCUUAGUGGGAAGCUCUGGCUGAUAACGUGAGAAAGAUGAAGCUAUAGUGGAGAUUACAGUAAAGAAGUAUAAGUAAUUAAGUUGUAAGGAAAAAUAUACCCCACUCUACUGAUGUAAAUUUGGAAUAUUUUGAGCAACACUGUUCUUCUGACACCUCUGCAAAGCCUUACAACGCACCUGCUAGAAUGAAGCUGGCACCAAGCCGCACAUACUGACAUGACCCUUUCCCAUUCACAUUCAGCCAGCCAGCCCGCAGGACAGGGUCGGCUGUGCAGCUGCAGAAGUCCUUUUCCAGCCAACGUGCCCACGUUGUGGCUUCUGCCACAGAACCACUGUCUCUGUGGAAAGAACAAUCAUCCUUGUUCAUGCUUUUGGAGAUGCUUCUUAAAUAUGUGUCAAAACCGAAUUGCUCAGGACACUGAACAGCCAUCAAGUCAGGAUGUUGUCAGUGAUGUGGGAACAAUGGCAACUUUGAAAUCCCAAGCGAAAAAAAUGCUGUGUGGCUGAGAGGCUCGUAUUAACUUUGUAGGGGGGCAGAACUCCCGGCUCUUUCUACAAGCCUGCUGCUGUGUUGCCAUCAGCAUCUUGAUCAGCACAGGGACAUCCUGGCCUGCUCAGCACAGCCACCGGGGCUGUGGGUGAAGACAUGGUGUGAAGCUCUCUGCCAGGCUGGCUUUGCAGGGUGCGUGGUAUUUUCCUGUCAGCUGGAUGUGAUUGUUUGCAUGGAGCCUUUGCUGAGAAGCCUUGGGAGGGAGAGAACAGAACUGAAAUGCACUUUUCAUCAACUCUGCACAUUCAUAUACAUCUGUGUACUCAGAAAAAUACCCAAUGGUUUAUGCUGCCAACAAAAACAGCUGUAUAUAAUGAGUAGCCAGUCCUUCCUAUAUACUACUCCAAUAUACUGCUCCCACAUGACCUACAGCAUAAAAAAUAUUUGUAGAAAGGACUUGGCAAAUAAUUUUCAGAAGUUAAUACAUCUGAAAAAAGGUAUGACAAAAUUUAACAAAACAAAAAUUGAAAUUAAUUAUUGGAUUUUACUUGAGGAAUUCUCUCCUUCAGAAAUUUAAGUUCACUGCUGUUCUAUUUUCCAAUCUUAUAUAUCAAUAGUAUAAUUCAUAAAUAGAGAUUUGAUUAUUCUGGUAUUCUUUUUUUAUCAUCUGUGGAAGAGUGGGUUUCAUUUUUAUGUUAUUUCUAGUGUAGAAGGAAUUUAUAUGUAUGUCUCUGGCUGUAUGUGUAUGCUCACAGAUAGUUAUUUUCCUUAUUUACAUUUACAAGAGAACUCUUCACAAUGUCUUUUGAAAGGCACUCAAAUUCUAUUAUUGCCUGUUUUGUUAGCUUAUUUAUGUACUGAAAUAGUUGAAGGAGGGAGCAGAUUUUCUUUAAAGAGACCGUACUUCUUUGAACAGUUGGCACUUUCUAUCUCAGUGUUGCACUGUGCUGCCCUUAAUAACUUCUCAAUAGUUUCCCACUAAAAUGUUUGUGAUUAUUAUAAAUGAAUGAUUUAUUACAGGUUGCAGUUACUUACUAUGGUCAGGUAUUGCAUGCAAUAUAUCUUUAGUUGACUGAAGCAAUGUACGCUGACACAAACUUUAUCCAAGUACACAUAUCUGUCUGACCUUUUUAUAACACAAAUCAAGGUAACAUUAGAAGCAAGAUUCAGAGAUUUAGGGAAAAAAAAAUAAGAAAGGAAUGGUAAAAGGUGGUAUGGAUUAUUUAAAACAAAAUGGGUUAUUUAAAACAAACAAACAAAUAUAUCCUGCCAGCACGAUGCUUCGAGGAGCAUAAUUAAUUUUUUUCUCUAAAAAGUUGCGAAAUAGUUUUGUCUGAUUUGAAGCAGCAUAUUUAGAAAUGCCUGGAUUUUACCUUGUGCUUCAGGUACCUUCUGUACCUGACUUACGGAUGAAGUGGGAAUCACUCAACUUUACCCACUAGGAGUUAUUGUAAUUAGUCAUUGACAAUUUCUUUGUCCUCAGGCUUAAAAAAUAGAUAUUGGGAUGGUGCCUCCCACUCACUUACUUUGGCCAGUGGUUACUUAAGGCCCAGUGACUCUGUUUCUUGCUGUAUGUGUGCUGUAAGUUAGUAUCAUGAAAGGGUCUUGAUUAUCUGUCAGCAGUUCAUGCAGCUAUUCCUUCUGAACCUUCAAUCAACAUAAAGCAUGAUCUAAG